GGAGCCGUAUAGGUAGAGCGGCGGUUUGGGGUUCCCCUCCUUACACCGCCCUGCGGGUUCGAUCCCCGCCGGCUCCA
rnacentral:tRNA from 1 species